rnacentral:rRNA from 1 species
GAUGCAAACUGCGAAUACCGGAGAAUGUUAUCACGGGAGACACACGGCGGGUGCUAACGUCCGUCGUGAAGAGGGAAACAACCCAGACCGCCAGCUAAGGUCCCAAAGUCAUGGUUAAGUGGGAAACGAUGUGGGAAGGCCCAGACAGCCAGGAUGUUGGCUUAGAAGCAGCCAUCAUUUAAAGAAAGCGUAAUAGCUCACUGGUCGAGUCGGCCUGCGCGGAAGAUGUAACGGGGCUAAACCAUGCACCGAAGCUGCGGCAGCGACGCUUAUGCGUUGUUGGGUAGGGGAGCGUUCUGUAAGCCUGUGAAGGUGUGCUGUGAGGCAUGCUGGAGGUAUCAGAAGUGCGAAUGCUGACAUAAGUAACGAUAAAGCGGGUGAAAAGCCCGCUCGCCGGAAGACCAAGGGUUCCUGUCCAACGUUAAUCGGGGCAGGGUGAGUCGACCCCUAAGGCGAGGCCGAAAGGCGUAGUCGAUGGGAAACAGGUUAAUAUUCCUGUACUUGGUGUUACUGCGAAGGGGGGACGGAGAAGGCUAUGUUGGCCGGGCGACGGUUGUCCCGGUUUAAGCGUGUAGGCUGGUUUUCCAGGCAAAUCCGGAAAAUCAAGGCUGAGGCGUGAUGACGAGGCACUACGGUGCUGAAGCAACAAAUGCCCUGCUUCCAGGAAAAGCCUCUAAGCAUCAGGUAACAUCAAAUCGUACCCCAAACCGACACAGGUGGUCAGGUAGAGAAUACCAAGGCGCUUGAGAGAACUCGGGUGAAGGAACUAGGCAAAAUGGUGCCGUAACUUCGGGAGAAGGCACGCUGAUAUGUAGGUGAAGUCCCUCGCGGAUGGAGCUGAAAUCAGUCGAAGAUACCAGCUGGCUGCAACUGUUUAUUAAAAACACAGCACUGUGCAAACACGAAAGUGGACGUAUACGGUGUGACGCCUGCCCGGUGCCGGAAGGUUAAUUGAUGGGGUCAGCGCAAGCGAAGCUCUUGAUCGAAGCCCCGGUAAACGGCGGCCGUAACUAUAACGGUCCUAAGGUAGCGAAAUUCCUUGUCGGGUAAGUUCCGACCUGCACGAAUGGCGUAAUGAUGGCCAGGCUGUCUCCACCCGAGACUCAGUGAAAUUGAACUCGCUGUGAAGAUGCAGUGUACCCGCGGCAAGACGGAAAGACCCCGUGAACCUUUACUAUAGCUUGACACUGAACAUUGAGCCUUGAUG